GACGUAGGGUGCGAGCGUUGUCCGGAUUUAUUGGGCGUAAAGAGCUCGUAGGCGGCUCGUCGCGUCGACCGUGAAAACCCGCAGCUUAACUGCGGGCCUGCGGUUGAUACGGGCGGGCUAGAGUUCGGUAGGGGAGACUGGAAUUCCUGGUGUAGCGGUGAAAUGCGCAGAUAUCAGGAGGAACACCGGUGGCGAAGGCGGGUCUCUGGGCCGAUACUGACGCUGAGGAGCGAAAGCGUGGGGGAGCAAACAGG
rnacentral:rRNA from 1 species